AGCUUUGUGCAGUGGCAGUAUCAUAGCCAAUGAGGUUUAUCCAAGGUGUGAUUAUGGGUAAUUUAAAACAUUUCCCUGAUGAUUAGUAAUAUUGAACAUGCUUUUGUGCGUCUUUUGGCCAUCUGCAAAUAUUAUUUGGAAAAAAUGUCUAUUC
rnacentral:snRNA from 2 species